UUCAUAAGUAAUAUAAAGAGCCUUUUACUUGUAUACUUGCGAUCAAGUAUUGCAAGCACAUUGCGUUUGAUCCAACACUCCGUUUCCAGACAAUGAUUAGUCUAGCAUAAUGCAAGUUGGGCUACAUCACACCGGACCAGGCGGACUUGUUGAGGUACCCUCCGAAAUGGACCAAAGCCCAAUACGAUAAGCGCAAUUUGGAUGUGGCCAAUUUGGUUUAAGCUUGCAAGGCUUCUACAAAUAGAAGUCUCCUCAUCAACAUAAAACAUCUUACCUUCUUUCGCAAACUCCCUUUCACAUACUAUUAUGCUUACACUCACAUACAUACCAAUAUCUAUGGUGAAUCCAACACUAACUUGAGCAUCAGAGGGUGAUCAGAGACUUGAGUCUCUGACCCUUUCUUAUGUGUCUCAUGGUUUUGCAGAUAUGACGAGACAAAGAAGGCGAGGUGUGGUCGCGUUUACCAUGUUAAUUGCCGAAGAAGUAUAUGCCCUUUCCAAGAUUUGCUCCUUCAGAUGUGUUUCCAGUUUUAAGUAAUUCUAUCACAUAUCUUGAAACAUUGCGUACAAACUAAGAAUCAUAUAAGAAUGACAUCAACUUAUAUGCAUUAAAUAUCCCAACAAUAAGCAUCAAGUCUAAGCAAAAGAAUUAAAGAAGUUUGAUUUAGCUACCUUACUUUUAUAUCAAUGAUUACUAACAGCCAGUCAUUGACGAUCUUUUCCCAACUCGAUCUACAACUCGUAACAGAUACAAUAUCAAUAGGGCUGGUGGUUCCUCCAACACGGUGUAUUCCUGUGACGGUCUUCCGCAUAAUUUGGCCAACAGACCUGCACACCGGCUCCUGUCUAUUCUCAUAUGAAUUAGGGUGCAGUUUCGCUCCAUCAUCAUCUUAGUGGUGUCCACAACAAUGUUAAGCGGAUGAUCCAUAAUUCUUUAAUAUCCCCCUUUAAGCCCUCUAGCAGUUUUAAAGUCGUUUUCGAUCAACAAGUUUGAUAAUGUUUUGAAUUAAACACAAUUCGUUGAAUAUGCUCUAUACUUCAGCCUCAAUAGUUGCAUAAGAUCCUCCUUCCAUCUUCCCAUGUACCCACACAUCCGUCUUCCUUUCUCAUAUCUAAACAGACCCCCAUAACUUGACGGACCUGGAUUCCUGUUUGAACUUUCACCCGUCUUCAACUUUAGAACAUCUUCGACUGAAAACAUUGGUCCUUUUUGACAUAUCAGCAAAUGCAAGUGUUAUGCAAUAUGUCUAAGGUUGAUAUUGGUCCUGUUAGGGCUUUUAUUGUAAUGAGGACAAUUUAUGGUGGUUUCGAAAAUGUUGGUGCUACUAGAGUGGAUUUUAAAAACUUUAAAAAGGAUUUAAAUUCAUAUAUUGGCGAGUUUGAUGCUGAUAUGUUGGUUAGUAUGCUGAAGAAGAAGAAGAAAUAGUUUCUUCCUGAUUUUUCUUUCGAGUAUACUAUUGAUAGUCAACAACAAUUAACUGGACUGUUUUGGGCCGGUGAGCAAUCUAAAAUGACUUCCAUGCUAACACGAGUAGUUUAACUCAGAAUUACCUCGUAAGAGCAUUUCUCAUUUUUUUUUGCUUUGCUAGAAACUUUUGAAAAAGUCUUCAAAUAGCCAUUGAUAGUUUACGAAUUAUGCUUAGUAGGGACCUAAACACAGGAAUGGUUCAGAGUCAGACCACGCCUUAUGACGAAAGGGGGAGAACUUUUCUGAACCGAAGAACAGAUUUUGUUGGGACCAUACUUAGUAUUAUCUGUUGCAUAUCCAAAUUCACAUCUUUAGACUCUUUCACACCUUUGGACUCUUUCACAUCUAUGGACUCUUUCAAAGGCAGAUAUGCACAAAUGUGAUUGUACAAAAUGGUAUUUGUUCCAUUUACUGGGAUUAACAAUCACUUUCAGAAUGCUACUCUUGGAGCUGGUUUAUUGAGAUCUGUUAGUGCAUAAUGUCUAUAGCCUACAUCAGCGUAUCAAGUCAUGUAUGUAAUAGGUUAAUGUGUUAGAGUCUCAGAUUUGUAUUGUUUAAACCUCUUCGUACGAAGGAGUCCUUCGCAUGAAAAGGGAUGUGUCACUCGCACGGAUUGGUUUGUCUAUAAAUAGGUGUGAGGGUGUGAGCAUUUGAGAACUUUUGGCACUCGGACGGCGAAGCGCUGUCGGUUUAUUUUAAGGUCUGUACUUGAUAUUUUUCACUAAAAUCAGUGCUAAUUGAUAAUAUCUUGUGUU